rnacentral:rRNA from 1 species
ACGCUGGCGGCAGGCCUAACACAUGCAAGUCGAGCGGUAGAGAGAAGCUUGCUUCUCUUGAGAGCGGCGGACGGGUGAGUAAUGCCUAGGAAUCUGCCUGGUAGUGGGGGAUAACGUUCGGAAACGGACGCUAAUACCGCAUACGUCCUACGGGAGAAAGCAGGGGACCUUCGGGCCUUGCGCUAUCAGAUGAGCCUAGGUCGGAUUAGCUAGUUGGUGGGGUAAUGGCUCACCAAGGCGACGAUCCGUAACUGGUCUGAGAGGAUGAUCAGUCACACUGGAACUGAGACACGGUCCAGACUCCUACGGGAGGCAGCAGUGGGGAAUAUUGGACAAUGGGCGAAAGCCUGAUCCAGCCAUGCCGCGUGUGUGAAGAAGGUCUUCGGAUUGUAAAGCACUUUAAGUUGGGAGGAAGGGUUGUAGAUUAAUACUCUGCAAUUUUGACGUUACCGACAGAAUAAGCACCGGCUAACUCUGUGCCAGCAGCCGCGGUAAUACAGAGGGUGCAAGCGUUAAUCGGAAUUACUGGGCGUAAAGCGCGCGUAGGUGGUUAGUUAAGUUGGAUGUGAAAUCCCCGGGCUCAACCUGGGAACUGCAUUCAAAACUGACUGACUAGAGUAUGGUAGAGGGUGGUGGAAUUUCCUGUGUAGCGGUGAAAUGCGUAGAUAUAGGAAGGAACACCAGUGGCGAAGGCGACCACCUGGAACUGAUACUGACACUGAGGUGCGAAAGCGUGGGGAGCAAACAGGAUUAGA